AUGCUUCUGUAGCACAUAGGCCAAUAUUGAAAAGACCCAGGAAGAUCAGCAUGGUCCCUGCCCAAGCUAGACAUGAGAACUCUAGAGUGCUCACUGUUAACU